CCUACGGGAGGCAGCAGUAAGGAAUAUUGGUCAAUGGGCGCAAGCCUGAACCAGCCAUGCCGCGUGCAGGAAGACGGCCCUAUGGGUUGUAAACUGCUUUUGAACAAGAGAAAACCUCGGUACGUGUACCGAGCUGAUAGUAUUGUUAGAAUAAGCAUCGGCUAACUUCGUGCCAGCAGCCGCGGUAAGACGAAGGAUGCAAGCGUUAUCCGGAUUCAUUGGGUUUAAAGGGUGCGUAGGCGGCCUGAUAAGUCAGUGGUGAAAUCUCUCAGCUUAACUGAGAAACUGCCAUUGAUACUGUCGGGCUUGAGUACAGAUGAUGUGGGCGGAAUAUGACAUGUAGUGGUGAAAUACUUAGAUAUGUCAUAGAACACCGAUUGCGAAGGCAGCUCACAAAACUGUAACUGACGCUGAGGCACGAAAGUGCGGGGAUCAAACAGGAUUAGAUACCCUGGUAGUCCGCACCGUAAACGAUGAUUACUCGUUGUUGGCAAUAUGACCGUCAGCGACCAAGCGAAAGCGAUAAGUUAAUUCCACCUUGGGGAGUAGCCGGNACGGUUGAAACUUCAAAGGAAUUGACGGCNGAGAGNGCGAGGACGACGACGAGGAGAGG
rnacentral:rRNA from 1 species